rnacentral:ncRNA from 2 species
AAUACUAUCCACGAAGCUGGUGAUAUUUGGCCGUCUAGGUUGCUAAAUGUCUGAAAAGGGAAUCUGGUGAAAAUCCAGAACUGACGCGCAGCGGUAAGAGAGAACGAACACUCCAUGAAGACACUGCUUUUAGUGGGAAGUCGAGUUAGUAGGUUUCAUGCUCUUAAGUCCGAAGACCUGCCAGCAACUGAGUAUAGCA